GUACAUAACCAUCAAAAAAUCUAUCCAAACUCUCGUUUUCCUUUAUUGGCAUGAUUCCCAUGAAGGAAAUAUCUUUUUAAGUAGACUGGUACCCAUUUUUCACGAUCUUCAUACAAUGAUUGAAGCCAUUUACUGUCCUUGAGUCCAUGCUGACUUAUCAUCUGACCCCAAGAAGUUUCAAAUUCGGUGAUCUUCAAAGAAUUAUAAACUGCUUUAUACAGUUGCAUCUUGAUAGACUCAUAUGACAAACAAUAACAAUGACAAGCUCGAGGGAAAACCUUAGAAACUGCAAUUUGCAAUGAUUUUGACUGAUCCGUUAGAAUAACUUGUGGAUGUCUCCCAAGCAUACAUGUUUGCCAUGAUUUAAACAUCCAAAUAAAGUACUCUGCUGAAUCAUGUCCAAGAAAACCACAUCCCAG
rnacentral:misc_RNA from 1 species